ACCUACGGGGGCAGCAGUAGGGAAUUUUCGUCAAUGGGCGCAAGCCUGAACGAGCAAUGCCGCGUGAACGAGGAAGGUCUUCGGAUCGUAAAGUUCUGUUGCAGGGGAAAAAGAGCGGAGAGAGGAAAUGCUUUCUGAUUGAUAUUACCCUUCGAGGAAGUCACGGCUAACUACGUGCCAGCAGCCGCGGUAAUACGUAGGUGGCGAGCGUUAUCCGGAAUGAUUGGGCGUAAAGGGUGCGUAGGCGGCCUGCUAAGUCUGGAGUGAAAGGUACCGGCUCAACCGGUACAGGCUCUGGAAACUGG
rnacentral:rRNA from 1 species